rnacentral:lncRNA from 1 species
AGCACAUGCAGUCCAUGCAGGACAUGGGUCUCGCACAUGUCACAUGUGAUGUUACCAUCCAGCCCGGCAGAUCUCGUGCAGUGAGUUCGUUUUCACAGGGCAGUUUGAUUAAUGUAAAAGUCAGCGUCUGGGUCAGGAACUGACUAUGGUUCUGAGUUGGGUGGUGAUAAGCAGGCUCUUUGUCUGUUGAGAGCUGUUUCUUCACCUGGGAGAACAAGGCACCGUGUUACCUGUUGGUUGACCUGACUGUGGCCUGCAGACAUUGAUAUGCUGGAGGAAUUUGCUUAUUUAAGAACCCAGGAAGGAGGGAAGAUUCAUCUGGAAUUACUCCCAAAUCAAGGAAUGCUGAUCAAGCACCACACAGUCACUCGAGGCAUCACCAAAGGUGUGAAGGAGGACUUCCGCCUGGCCAUGGAGCGCCAGGUCUCCCGCUGUGGUGAGAACCUGAUGGUGGUCCUGCAUCGCUUCUGCAUUAAUGAGAAGAUCCUGCUCCUGCAGACUCUGACCUGAUCGACCUCCCUCCUGGCCACCAGCAGCUCAGCUGGGACAAGCGCUGCCAGACCAGGGCUGGGGAAGAAGGAAGACACCAAGUUCUAACUCCCUUAGUUGCUUCAAAGUUAUCCCAAGAGUUAGGGAGUUGUUUCUAUUUUUAAGACUUCGGGUUUUUUAAUUUGUACAAAAUAAGAGUCAAUCCAUUUUGUAAAUAAAAAUCCUAAAAGUUUGAAGUUUG